rnacentral:tRNA from 1 species
AGGAGCUUAGGAUAACAAGACCAAGGGCCUUCAAAGCCCUAAGCAGAAGUUAAACUCUUCUAGCUCCUG